ensembl:lncRNA
AGGCCAAGUCUGGAAGAGGCGAUCUUAAAGGAUGACUUCCGACAAAGACUUGAAGCAUUCUCUCUCUUCCUUCCUUGGACACACCUACUCGGAGGCUCCUGGCCCCGGGAGGCCCCCAGCGGAGCUGGAGGAGGGCCCAGCACCAGGGGUGGGUGAGAUGCCAGCACCCCCUUGGAGAUCAGAACUGCUAGUCGGGUCAGCUGACCCCAUCUCUGGCCACCUGAGUGACCCUCCUGGGGGACUGGACCUGGAGCUUGGGCUCCUCGGGUGCCAGCGUCACUGCUCUGGUCUCCCCAGUCUGCCCAGAGCCCCCUAAAGCCCACCGUGUGCUCAGCCAUGGGACUCCUCAUCCGAAGCCUCCGAGCCCUCCUUUUCCCAUCCCUCCACCACCCGGCCCGCUGGUACCAGAGCUGCCCUGCAGGACAAGCCUCAGCCUGGGCCACAGGCAAGGCCGCUUGACUCAGCAGUCCCUGCUGUGCCCACAGCCGGCGGGGAGGUUGCAGGUGCCUCCCCUCCCUGCCCAGGCAUCAAGUCACAGGGCUUGAAUACUUCCCAGGACAGGGAGCUCAUCAGCCCCAGGCAGCAGCCUGCCCCAGGCAGAAACGCUUCGACUUCCGAGACAAGUCCUUUGUGAUGAACUGACACCUGAACACCGGUUAAUUCCAUCUGUUUACACAUUUUCGUCAUCCGCAUCAUUAUUAAUACUGUCUACAUACCAGCACACUGCAGUAUGUCAGCGAAUCCUUCACCACUUGUGGAGCUGGGGCCUGUCUCUCCAUCAUGUACUGGUAGAUGGGAAACCUGAGGUCCAGAGGAAGUGUGUCACCUAAGUGUGUGACACGGCCAGGAAGUCACAGAACGUGGGCUCAGAUCCAGAGCCCAGGCCCUUGCCAGCCAGGGGUGUGCCCAUCCAGGUUCCACCAUCUGCUUAGCUCCCCUCUCCAGCGUGUUCUUACUUCUCUGCCAG